CCUCCUUGCUUUUUGGGGGGGUUUUGUUGCUCCUUUGCUACAUACCAAGACCAGGCAGAGCGACCCGAAGCAACUCGUAAAUCCUCGUCCCUGCCAGGACCCGGAGGGUUUUCCUCUCCCUGUCAAACCAAGCAAUCAAAUCCCCCUCCAACAUGCUUUUAAUUGGGUAACUGAAGGCUCUAAUGUUCCCCUCUGGGACAUCUGCUUGCAGGGAGAUGCUGGCUCCCAUUCCCAGCCUGGAAUCACUCCCAGCUCCGGCUCCGUGGCACCCACCUGGGAGCGAUCAGGGACCUGCUGGAGGCUCUGGAUGUGCUCCCUCCAUGGCACUGCUGGGUGCUGGGGGUGUUCCCCCCCUCCCUGCUGAACUGUCACAGCCAGGCUGGAAUCAGAAGGGUUUGGGGUUGUGCCAGCCCGUGCAAGGAGCUGCCCUGAAUCAACUCCCUGGGCAGAUGGACUCGCGUGGGGCUCAUAAAACCCCGAGCACCUUCUUGGCAGAGUCACAGUAAAGAAGAGCCUGGGAGGGAAAACACCAACUCCAUCUUGCUGGGAAAUGGGGCUUCAGCUUCUUCCAGUUUUUGGCCUCCCAAAUCCAGCAGAGCUCUCCAGGAGCAGGACAUCCAUGGACAGCACCACGGCACAGAGGGUCACUGCCCAAAUCUGCUUUCUCCUGGCAAGCUGAGUGUGCAGCCGGACACUCGGAAUCUCCAGGGAGCAGCUCAUCCAAAGGAUGCUUUGGGAAGGUGUGGCUGGUGUCUGGGAAAAAGGCACCAUCGUCAUGUUUGUACCUCCCCAACCUACCCCACUGAAGUGUUUAGGAUUCCCACUGGAUCCACUUUGCCUCUGGCUGACCAUCUCCCAAAACAUCUCUGCUCUUGGAAAGCCUCAACAGAAUGUUCUGCAAGAGCUGAGCAGGGAGCAGUUGGAGACCACAGCUGUGAGUGUCCGGGCAGAGCUCCCUGAUCCAUCGUGGUGGACGGACGGUGCUCUGAAGGUGAACGGUCUCACCUGUCCGACUGGCACAGAAUCCCAGGAUCACUGAGGCUGGAAAAGAUCUCCAUGACCAUGGAGUCCCCCCUGUGCCCCGUCCCCACCUUGUCCCCCAGCCCAGAGCACUG